rnacentral:lncRNA from 1 species
CUCUCACGUAUUUUCCUUCAUUAAAUUGAAAAUCACGUUUCUUCCCACAUUCAUCCCCAAUUCUUUACAAGCCCUAAUUGUGAACCCAUUUCUUCUCCCCCACACAAAUUGAUUUCUCUCAAAAUCAAGAUUCAAUCUCUAAAUCAAAAUCAAAAAAGGAACAAUCUCUUAAAUUGUGAACACAUUUCUUCUCCUAACUGUUUUAAUCGAUUUCUUCCAAGCAAACAAAGAACCGAAAUCGCCUGUACGUCCACCAUCUACACUUGAGGUUUUUCUUCUGCAUUAUUUGUUUAAUUGUUUUGACUGAGAUUUUCUCCUAACUGUUUUGAUUGGGAUUUUCUUCUACACCAUUUAUUUAAUUGUGUGUUGUUUUUUCCUUCUGUUAUAUGGAGGUAGUGACAAUAAAAGGCGCUACUUAAAUGGGAACCAUGCUUUAGAAAUAAUAAUGUUUUUAGCAGGAAGAUGCUUAGAAAGAUUUAGUAAAUUUACAUUAUAGGGUUUUUGUUCUGCUCCUGAAUUCAGCAGUGAUGUCAAUUUUUUUGUUCUUGAGUUGAUAUCUACUUUUCUGUCUGUGGAAUUUCAGUGAAGGAAAAGAAUUGCACAAUUUAAUACCUAAUGAUUUAUUUUAUCACAUGCAAGGAGAAGAUAAAUGCUUGGACUUCUUGCAGUCUGUAGAAGAAGCCCAGUUAAAGCUCCUCAUCGCUCAUCAAGAAAUCAAAUCUUAUCUCAGAUAGGAAAUUGUUGGAAAAGCGAAUUAAAUGUUGUUGUGGCUUUUUGAGUAUGUAGUUGGUAGGUUGGUGGUUUUGUAGGAAGUACAUUAAUGGUGUAGGAAUGUUUGUGGUGUUCUAUUUCAGCUCAAUGGCUGUAAUGAUAGGUGUAUUACUGUUGAUGGUUGUGAAAUCAUCAAAGGAAACCUGAUGUAUUUUACAAUUUCAAAUUGAAUGGAAAGUAGCUGUUCAAACUUGAUGUAUUUUACAAUUUCAAUUUCUAAUAUGGUUAAAUUAUGACUAUUAAAUGUAUUCUCG